UACGGGGGGGGCAAGCGUUGUUCGGAAUUACUGGGCGUAAAGGGCUCGUAGGCGGCCAACUAAGUCGGACGUGAAAUCCCUCGGCUUAACCGGGGAACUGCGUCUGAUACUGGAUGGCUUGAGAUUGGGAGAGGGAUGCGGAAUUCCAGGUGUAGCGGUGAAAUGCGUAGAUAUCUGGAGGAACACCGGUGGCGAAGGCGGCAUCCUGGACCAACACUGACGCUGAGGUGCGAAAGCGUGGGGAGCAAACAGG
rnacentral:rRNA from 1 species